GGUAGUAGCAAAUAUUCAAAUGAGAACCUUGAAGGCCGAGGUGGAGAAGGGUUCCAUGGGAACAGCAGUUGACCAUGGGUCAGGCGGUCCUAAGUAAUCCGGUAAAUCGGAACAGAGAUGGGGUGACUGAAAUUGUCCGUUCGCGGGCUUUGUUCAGUAAUCUGCAAAGUACUGUUAUUCACUUCAUAAUGGAUAAGGUUCAAGUUGUAUUUUCUCAAAUUCCAAACGAGAUAUUGUUACCAAGAGUUAACUGACU
rnacentral:ncRNA from 1 species